ensembl:lncRNA
CUUCCCUUCCCUUUUUUAGAACCACCCACCCUCACCUGCCAAGCAAAUAGAGGGACCCCCUGUUGCUCCCCAGCUGCAUUUAAAGAUGAAUUUCAAGCUGAGGGAAAGGGAUAGCACUGCAUCUAGGGAUGUACUUGGUGUGGCAAGUGGAUCUUACAGGCAAUGAUAAAUGCAGUGCAAUCACUCUGUUAUGCUUUGCUUCAAAUGUCCUUGUAUUUCAGAAAGUGACUGCCGUGCAUUACUUUUGGUAGUCAGAAAAACGUAAUCCUUAAUUGGAUCUUUUUUUGACUGCUUUCAGUCACUUAUCCCAUACUCAGAAAUUGGCUGUCCACUUGAUGUGAGAAAGUUGUUCUUCAUCAAGCUGAGUAUGAGCAACUCCUUCAUCUUGUUCAAAGCAUUCUUGCAUCCCUCAGGCCCCAGCAGGAAUGGCAAUUCAUGUGCUUAAAGCACAGUAACCCUUUUUGGAUAUCACCUGCCUGCAGUGAGCAGUAGAACUAGUGUGGGGCUGUCUAUGGCCUGGGUUAUACAUUCCAGCUCUAUCGUGCUUGCUGUGUGAAGAAUGAAGUUGGCUUGUGGCAGCUGGUGGCAUUUCCAGGAUGUAUGGUGGCUGCUGCACCUCAGCUCUGUGCUGACGCAGGGUCAGGGGCUGCCUGGCAGGCUGAGAUAAGACUGUACUUUGUCAAGAUGUUUCCAGGCUACAGAGGCUACAAAACCAAGGGCUGUCUAGAAACACAUCUCAUCACUGUUAGUCCUUUGGAAAUCACCACACACACAGAAAAAGGACAACAGCAGCAUGCAUAUUAAGAGCAGGAAUUAUAUGCAAGACAGCUGCUUCAAACCCUCUUUAAGACCCCAAAAUAACCUUGAAGCUGCUUUAAACCCUCUCUUUCAGGUUUCCCUGUGUGCACCUACAGAAAAGAAACAGUAUCUGAGUUGCUGUUCUACUACACUCCCUCCUGAGGUGCCAGAAUGGUCUCUUUGCAGUCAGUUGUACAGUAAAACUCUUGAAAUUCCUUUAAGUCGAAAAUUGGGUCCAGCCUGCUGUGUAAUGAGCAAAGAUCAGGGAAUCACAAAGAUGUGUAUGACCAUUUUUUGAUUCUCUGAAUUAGACUGGAGACUAAAUGAAUUAGACCAGGAUCUCCAGCCUGCCCUCAUUAUUAUACUAAAAAUAUUUUACUGUAACUUUGCAGAUGGCAAGCUUGACAUAAUAUAUCUUAUAUGAAGUUUGAGAUUUAAGCUAUCCAGUUGGCAAAACUACCAUACUGUAGAACUAAAACAAUACAAAUAUAUUUACGGCAAUUAUUUUGACCUUACAUAUCAGGCAGCAGCAUGAAAGGAAUAGAAAAAUACAUGUAUUUAUGCUCCUUAACCAAAAGCUGGAGUUAAUAAUAACUGAUGUUUGGAGUUAAUUAUAACUGAACUUUGGGGUCUUCAUUUUUUAUGUGGAGGACAAGCCCCCAGUGGUUUCUCUGACCAGAGUUUAUAGCCAGAGACAAGAAAUUUCCCCACCACUGGAAACAUGCAUGCUCCUAUUGAGUCAGUUAGAGAGGGAAAAUUAUUGUAUUGAGGCAACAUGCUCAGAUAAAGCCAAAGGUAGGAUUAAGUUAGUCGUAGAAGGUCUCAUCUCUCCUCCUGACCCCUGAAUAUUUGGAGGGAAAGAGCAAGUAACAGAAGUUGAUGCAAUGUUGUUGCGUUCAAAUAUCUGUCCAGAGUUAGAUCUAUCAUCAAGCAGCCCCCGCAAAUGGAUGAACUUACUCCUGGGAGCUGGAAUUGCGCUAGCCUGGACUUCAGCUGGCUUGGAAAAAGUUUUUCCAUCCUGCAAAACUUAAGCUUUGUCUCCCUUGUCCUUUCUCAGUCCAACAUAAUUUUUUUGGGAAGAAGGCAGUUCAUUCCUGUAGGUAUGUACUUGGAGGAUCUUCCCAGUCUCAAGGAUCCUGGACUGGAGGGGCUGUGCUGCCAUUUUCUGCCUCUCUGGUGGGAGAAGCUCCUAGAAGAGCCCUUCCUCUCUUCUUUUGGCAGAAAUUCUGCUCUGGAUACAAGAGAGUACACAGGUUAUAGUUCACUGGAAAAUAUUCUUGCAGAGCAUUUUGAUUUUGAUGAAAAAGCACUUUCUUUUCCUUUGUGAAUGGGGAAAACGACCCCCACCCUGUAUUAGCUGUGUUUUGCAUGCAGGCAAACACAAUUCUUCCCACAACAGUUCUAUUUUACAUGCAAGCAUAAACACAUUCCUCUUUGUUAUUGGUUGUGGAGUACUUUGAAUAGGAAAUCAUUCCCAGUGCUGAUAGCGAGUGCAGCUUACAGGCAGCUUGUUGGCCUCAUACCCUAUGUGCCCCACUAGUCCAUGGGAUGCUUUGUACUGCUAUGAAGCAGCACCUCUCUUGGUUUCCUCCAUGUUUUGUAGUUUCUUGCUGUGUGCAAGAAGGACUGUGCACUAUGUUUAAAUUUUCAUUUUUUAGCAGGCAUGGUCUCAGCCAUCCCAUGUGACAAGAACAAUUAUUCUGGCCUCUAUCUGUCUAGGUCCUUGCCUCUUUAGCUGCCACCCUUUUGGCAUUUUGUUUCUUUGAUAAAGGCCCAAAGCCAAGCAUCAAAACUGAAAUUAUUACAUUAAUAUGUGUGAACACACAAAUAUGCUUCUGUAGCUCAGAAACCCUUUGUUUUCAUUAUUUCCACUGUCAGAGAUUUCUUGUGAAGAAAGAUUGCACUGGAAGGAGAGACAAAGGUAGGUGGGUGGUAGGGAGAUAGUUAGGUAAACAGCCACCUAAAGAAAGGGCAGAAGAGGCCAAUGUGGAUAGCCUUUGUUUGAACUGCACUGAACAUUAUUUCCUGGAGCCUUUCACAAUAGUCAAAGGACUUUGUGUCUGGCAGGUAAUUGUAGUCUGCCAAGGUUUGAUGAUGGAGAAGCAAACAAAACAUCAUUCAUAAAACAUGUCCACAGUACAUGCGCUACAAUCAGCUGGGUUGGCUGGCUCUGUAGGAAGAGCCAGCAGACAAGACCCGGGAAGUCCCAGCAGCUGUGCUCUAACCCCGAAUGCUAUGUAUUAUUUAUUCACUUUAUUCUGCCUAAGCUGGGACAUGCGGACAGGCAUAAAUGUGAUUUGCCUUUUAGAGUACAUUUGAACAGAUAUAAUAGGUGUCUGUCAGCACCUUUACCUCAUGUGAGGAGCGCUUACCAUAAUUAACAAGGCGAUGUGUGUCAGGGUAGGGCUUGUAGUGUGUUUGCUAAAUUCAGAGCCCUCCAAAGCUUGGGCUCACAUGAAAGGGUGUGUAGCCCAGGGUCGUACUGAGCAUGGGGCCUACUGCAGCUGUGCUGAUCUUGCUUGCCUACAGCCAUCCCUGAGGGUAAGUCCCCUGAAGCCAGGCUUACCUGCUGUAAUGCUGCCAGGAGGCAAACUUAAACACGAAACAGAAUAACCUACAUUAGCAAUAGGACUUCCUUUCCCUGUUGACUGUCUAUAGUAAGAUUUUCAUCUUCAUAAGGAUGUAUUUUUUUUCUUUUUUGUGCAGCCAGCCAAUACUGUUUUUUCACGGGAAGUCAUGAUUUCUUUCUGUCUGUCCUGCAAGUGACAUGAUGUGAGCCUGCUCUAAAGAAGAAAGCAUGUAGCUGCAGUUAGCCUAGGAAUAAAUGUGCUCUGGAGUGUAAUAGCCUGGGCUCUGCACCGACCAUAGCAACAUGGCUUCUGUUUCUGAGCUGUCUCACAUCUGUCCAAAGAGAAGCAUAGGCAGCUGGAGUUUGCUUCUGCCUGGAAAAUAGCAUGGAGACAUACCCACACAUAUUCUGGCCAAUCCUUUAAGCACAGACAAAGCCUAUGAGAAAUGAAAGGGAAUACACAUCAUCCUAGCAUUACCUUACUAUGAAAUUAAGGAUUUACCUCUGUUAUCUUGCUUAGGAAUGGGAAGUAAGUGGUGGGAAAAUGGAUAUUAAUGGUGCAUUCAGAGUUAAUUUCUCCUGUGUUGGUCAAACUGUUUAAAGAAGGAAAGAAAUUCUGCUUCCUUGAGUUGGUCAUAGUUGUGCAUAACUAUUUCUCAAGACAGACAGUCUUGGGUUGGAUUCACAGGCUUUGAAUAGAGUCACUUUUAGCUUAUUGACACUUUUUUCCUACUUUGAAACCACUGACAGACUCACUAGUUGUAUGGUAGACAGGUGACCCACAGAGUCUAAGGACACCUCCUGACAGUAUGCAGCUUAACCAGCCAUGCAAGGUAUGUCUUCAUAGCCACAAUUAGCAGCAAAGCCUGGCACUGCUGAGGAUCAAUGACAUAGUGACAGUUUCAGUGCAAGCUGUCUGACCCAACAGUCUGGCCUUAGCAUCAGCCAAGAAGAACUUGUUUCAUGAUUCUUGCCUCAGCUUUAGUUUCUUCUAUUUGUGCUUGUUUCCAUCUCUCUGUUGUUAUGUGAGCUGUGGAAACAGAGACCAUAGUCUGCAAGGGAGAUUCUGCAAAUAUUUCAGCCUUAAGUUACUGCCAUUUUUAUUGCUAAGCUUCAUUUUUUGUGCACCUUUAACUCUAUGUUGCUUUCCCUGAUGAAGUAAAUGAUGAUACUGAGCAAUGUCUUUUCAAUUUUUGUCUGUGUAGAAAUGAAUUCUAUUUUUUUUUUCUGAGUAUGAUGCUGGCCCUGCAUCUAGUUUUCUUAUGAUUUAUAUUCUGUUCAGAGAUAUGAGCCUUCCUGAAGCCUACUGUCUAAUAAUUAAUUAUGCUUAUUUUAAGUCAUUAAUCUAUUGUUCUGCAUGAUUUUUCCAGAACGCAUCUAAGAUGUCUGAUGCAAUGUUUAUUCUCAGUCCUUUUAAUGCAGGCCUUUUCUAUAACUGCCUGCCUUUAUUUUCCAUUUGCAUCACCUGCAAGUGAUUAUCAAUACAAGCCUAAUGGAUUUACAGUAACCCUUGAAAAAUUAGAUACUUAAGGUGAAUCCAUUUAACUUUUUUUUUUUUUACAAGUCUAGUAUUCUGCUCAACCACUCAGCAGUACAUUCAGAAAGCCAAGUGGACUAAAUGUACCAGCAUUAAGGUAACCCAAACCCAUUUGCUGUGGUAUUGAAGACUAACACACAGAUGACCCUGGGUCUCAGUAUUUGGAAGUGACUUCUAAUUAUUCUGUAUUUUCCAACCCUCAACGUGCACAUCUCCCAACUCUUUGGUAGAGACUCUUUUGAGCUGGCUUUAACAUUUAUCAGGGGAAAUUCUGAGAUCUCUGUUGGAGCUCUCCAAUUUGCAGCAGAGCAGCAGCUGACCCAUUUCUGUUUAGGGCAAUGUGUCUUUGGUUAUAAAAUCAUCAUUCUUUACAAGAUUCUUGCAGGGGGACAAAUGGAUGUAUUUUUUUACUCUGGGUGACAUCUUUAAGCUGAGAGAGAUACACUAUUUGCACAGCACUUUUUAAUCUCCAUUUCGUGAAAAAUGAAGGUCUUUGGCCUAUAAUUUUAAUUUGAUUUAUAUUCACAAUUUCUCUCAACAAGUUUCAGCCUACCUAGUAUCAAAACAAGAACAUUAGCUUUGGUCAAAGGUUACCAUGUGAUUUAAUAGUGAGAGAGGAUGUUGAUUUUCCUCAUCAUUUUUUAAUUUCUCAAAAACUGAAUUAAAAAUUCUCUAACUUUCAUCCCAAAUCAAUUACAUUUAAAACCUGUGGGAAGGGAGACUUUGAAAGACUUUUGACCAUCAAAAAAAGCUGCUUUGUAGCAAACAUUCUAAGUUUGACCCCUUGAGAGGAGGUGGUCUUGUCCACUGCAGCAGCACAUCAGCAUGGGAGACUCUUUGAUACUUCUCAGACCCCAUCGCGGCUGAAUUUAAUUUAUCAAGGGCCUCUGAACAUAUAUCUUACUAUAAGAUAUAAAUAACUAUAAGUAAGUUAUAAGUAAAUAUUACUUUAAUAUAAUAACUAUAAGUAAGUUAUAAGUAAAUAUUACUAUAAAAUAUUAGUAAAAGUAAAUAUUACUAUAGUAGUAAUAACUACUAUAAGAUAUAAAUAAGAUAUAAAAAACAAUAAUCUCCAAACGUUUUACAGGUCAUCAAGGCUGUACAUAUCAUACUGCCAGCCUGAGGAAUGUUCUGGCAAAAGACCAGCCAAACUAACCUCACCUUCAGAUUUUGCUACCAGGAAUAAUGCAGGAAGAGAUGUAUAACAAAGAAAACCUAUAAAGUAAUUAUGAGGGACAUAUCCCCAACUUGCAUGAGAUCAUCGUGAGUGAAACUGUCUUUGAGUGUUGAAAAUCCAGUCCUGCAUUUUCAAGGCCAUGUAAUUGAGCCUCUCCAUCUCAGAAAAGCAAAGAUUUUGGUACCUCUGGCUAGAAAUAAAUGAAGGCACCCUCAGUACUGUACCAGCUCCACCACAAGAUGAAGUCAAAGUUCACAAUUCCUCUUCUCGCUUUUCCCUUUUACCUCUGCCAUGAUGGUUACUGUGGUACAGGAAAGAAGAAAAUAUCCAAUUGUAAUGGUUACAAGAAUGUCACAGGAGGCACCUCUCUGCUGCUCUAGUCUCCAUCAACCAAUAUUAGUGCAGAUCUUCAGUGAACGCCAGAGAAUUUGCAGUAUAUUUGAAAUUAUGUUGCUGGUGCUCUACCAAAAACGUUAUGGAAUUUUUAAAGACAUCCUUUUAGCAAACUGUUAACAGCCAUUCCAGAUGAUCCUUCUCAAAACUGCAUAGCAGACCGUGAAAUACUUGUAAAUGUGUUCAUCUUGUCCUUCUACCGUUGUUGUCAUCUAAUGGACUGAGUUGUAGGAAGUUCAAGGUAUGCUGAAUACAGAACUGCUUUCUUUCAGGAGGAUGCUCAACAUCAUCUUAAAAAAAAUUAAGAUCUCUUCAAGUGUCUCAGACAAGGAGCAAGAAGUACAAUUCUUCACAGUCAGCUACUUCAGCAACCACUUUGCAAACCUAAAAGUCUCUUAGUGUCAUAUUUUUAAUUGAAUCCUAAAUGCCUAGAGAACUUGAAAUGAAGAAUUUCCCACCCUGAAAUCUCAACGUGCAGUACAAAUCACAGAGUCAUAGAAUCACGGAAUUGCAGGGGUUGGUAGAGAGCUCAAGAAAUCAAGUCCAACCCUGCUGCUAUAGAAGGCACCCUGCAAUAGGUUGUGCAGGUAGGCAUCCAGGCAGGUCUUGCGUAUCUCCAUAGAAGGAGACUCUUCAGCCUCUCUGGGCAACCUGUUCCAGUGCUCUGUCACCCAUACUGUAAAGAAGUUUUUCUGCAUGUUUACCAACAGAGUCAGGUUUUCUGGAUUCAAAACAGAAGAUCAUUCUUUGUGAUGAACUGGUACCUGCUGGCCCUGAUGGCAAGCAGAGACACGUCAGUAGUUUAGUAGCAAUCUCCUGGACAGUAAAGCAAGAAGUAUACAGAAUCAAAGCACCCUGAAAAGCUUAUGAAAUAGAGAUGACAUUGGAAGUACAGAUUGAAGGAUGGGCUAGGAGGAAGCAGACAAUCCAAAUGUGCAAAGAGAAAAAGAAAGGAUAAACUGAAUGCUGAAGGUUAUUGCAGGGAUGACUGGUGAUGGUGUAGAGUGAUCAGAUUUUUUUCUCUUUUCCAGCCAGAAGUCAUUGUACUCGUUUUGGAAAAGUUAUAUUCAUAUGAUUGAGAAGAUUAAUUAACAUCUGUCCUGUGGUUUUAAGGAAGAAACUGACAGUCCAAAAAAAUGAAAGUGAAGUUGCGAUCUCAAGUAACUGGGAAUUCAAAUUCAGCAUCGCACAGUGGCAUAGCUGCUCUGUAGACAAUAAAGGGGCACAUGGGAAGAAGAUCC